GUGAGGGAGUGACAGAGUGAGAGAGGGAGUGACUAGUGACAGAGUGAGGGGGUGACUGUCACUAGUCACCCCCUCUCUCACUCUGUCAUUAGUCACCUCCUCUCUCACUCUGUCACCAGUCAUCC